rnacentral:ncRNA from 1 species
UAUUUGCUGACGACGAAGAAAGUAAUUGCAUGAAUUGGCUGAAAAGAGAGGGAAAGUCUCGGGCUGUAAACUUUCCUACAGACACCUGCGAUGAAUAACACUUUUGAGGCUUUUUUCUGAAAAGCGCUUGCCGCUUAUUAGGAAAAAACGGAACCGGCCGUUACCCGGAAUGAGAGGAUGCAUUUUUCUGCAUCAACUAGGGUGGAACCGCGGAAGCUAAUACAAGCUCUCGUCCCUUGC